GUUCUGUAACUCCAAACCAUGGCACCCUGCCAUAAGGGGGGCAGAACAUACCCAACACCUCUAUCUGGCCACAGCUCACUUUGGUUCUUCCUAACCCUCUGGAGGAGGCAGGGCCUAUUUUUCCGAUGAGAAAACUGAGGCCUAGAGAUAUGGAGACCUGCGGAAGAUCCCACAUUUCACGGGAAAACCGGAGACUUUCUACACUGGAUUCAGGGACUACUGGGCCGAACAAAGAAAUCCCGCCUUUCACCAAGCCCAGAACUGGGCGCGGCGUGGAUUUGCUCGCUGCCCCUCCCAGAAUUGGACGAAAACGAGGUGGGGCCAGCAGGCGCUCGGCAGGGCGGGCUCGCUCUUAACACGUGACAGCGCUCAGCCAAUUGGCGCGGGGCGUCCGUAGCCACGGCAACAGGUUGCUUCUGCAGUCUGAGCUGAGCGCCUUUCGCACGACUUGGAGUUACGGUUUAUCUGAUACCCCGGUACCCCUACGCAAGCAAGCCCACAUCGACACACAUUCACACACGCCCUUCAGCACCCCCUCCCAGCACCACGACCAUGGACGACGACUAUGAAGCGUACCACAGUCUGUUCUUGUCGCUGCUCGGACUCUGCCCGUCUAAGACUCCCAUCAAUGAAAAUGCUCCCGUCUUUGAUCCUGAACCGGUCAUUGCCCACUGCUUCAAGCAGUUCCAGCAGAAGGACUUCCGCCUGCCUCAGACCCGCCGGCGAAUCAUCAUGGUGCCUCGCAAGGAGGAUCAGACACCCAUUAAUCCUGCAUCCCAACCUCAGGCUCCCCCAAAGCCCAUCCCCAGCUUCAAAGUUCUGGAAGCUAGAGAUAUCCAAGAGCAGCCAGAGGACAGGAAGACCUGGCUGAGCCAGAGGUCGAAGCUGCGGCAGGAGCUAGAGUCCUUUGGUGAUGUAAAGAGGUGGCUGGAGAACAAGCCCAGCAUCACGCCUUCAGAGGCCAAGGUCUUACACAUGAUCCACGAGGAGCAGAGUGCCCAGCCAAAUGCCUCCCAGGCAACUACGAGGACUACCAGGAAGAAAGCCCCCAGGCUCUCCCGGCUGUCCCGCCAGAUGGUGCCCCAGCUCCAGCUGCCCAAGCCCCCUGCCCUGUCAGUCAUGUACUCCUACCUGCAUAGCCGCAAGAUCAAGAUCCUGGAGAUAUUUCACAAGGUGGGCCAGGGUGAGAACCAGAGAAUCACCAGGGAGGAGUUCAUCGCGGCUGUAAAGGCAGUCGGAGUCCCUCUGAAGAACCAAGAGGUGGAGGAUAUAGUGAUCUACCUCAGCUCUCUUGGGAAGCACAACACCAUCACCAUGGAUAUCCUGGCCAAUACCUACAAGCAGUGGUCUAUGGCUCAGCAAAGGAGCAGCCUGGCCACUGCAAGGGAGCAGGUCAGGAUUACUAUUCCUGCUUUACGAGGAGGAAGCUGGAGCUCAGAGAGGCUGAGCCACUUGUUCACAGCCUCAAUAGAAGGUGGUUAUAUCUUGGCCAAGCACAGAGAUUCCCUGAAGGGUCCGCUCAAGAAGCAGGAGGUGGAUUCAGCCCCACAGCUUCCCAAAGUGGACCUACUGACGGUGCCUGCAGUCGACACGCAGAUGGAGGCGCGGCCCAUGACCCUGGAGGAGAUGGAGGAAGUGGGCAAGCGGUACCGCGAGCGGCAGCGACAGCACAAGCUCACGAUCCCCUCCAUCCAGUACACGGAGCAAUGUCACCUGGUGCGCUGUGGGAAUCGGCACUUUGAUGAGCACUGCCUCCCGUCCACCAUCCACGGGGAUAUGAGGGAGCUCAUUGACUCGGCCCGCAGGCACAACUUUCUGGUCUACCUGCAAUGCUGGAAGCUCUGUGAGUCCUAUGGCCUCCUGCUGACGGAGGACAUCCUCAUGAAAGCCUUGCUGUACCCAGGAGACAAGAUCAUUUUCCAGAUGGACAAAGUGUGCCCCAUCCGGCAGCCGGGAGGCUACUACUCUGACUGGAAGGUCUUUUCUCCGAAUCUGGCUCUGCUCCGGUCCCAGGGCCCUGGCAAGUCUAAGAGGACUGACAAGAAAACGCCAAAGAAAAGCAAGAAAAUGCGCUUUAAGGAGUUUGAGGAAUUUACCAGGUCUGUGGCAAUCAUCUAACUCCACAACGAAGGAAGGUGGGAGGAGGGGCAGCUUCGCCUGAGACAACUGGGACUCUGCGCUCCUGGCACAACAGCUGGGGCUCGGUGCCCUGGCCUGAGAGGCGGUGACACAACACAGAGAGGGCCAGGAGGCAUUGCUCUGGGGCUUUCCAUGUGUUCACUCACUCAGAUCCUCCCAACAGCCCUAUGAAGUGACACUAAGCAUAUUCAUUUUACACAGGAGGAAACUGAGGCACAGACAGGGUAAAUAUCAUGCUCAGAGUCGCACAUCUACGAAGUGAUGCAGUGGGGAUCUGAACCCAGCUAGGGUGGCUGCAGGGGCCGUACUCCAAACACCACAUUAAAAUGCCUCCAGAUAACAGAUGGUUUGCGCUUAAGACUUUGAGUUUAGAGGCAUUGGACAAGGAAUGAAGCCUGCACUUGGCCACUUGCUCAGUGUGCGACGGCCUCUCCAGGCCUCCGGGUCCUCACAGGAAGCUGAAGGUGAAGAGGUCCAGUGGUCUGCAGCAAACACACCCCAAUUCCUUCUGGCCGGGUCAUCUUCUGGAUAAGCUGCAGCUCUACCUGCCCACUGUGGCCACAGACCGGAGCCUGGCGCUCUUCAGUUGUGUUCAACACCAGCCCCAUGUCUACCCAGCCACCUACCACCCUGACCACUGGUGGCCCCUUAGGAACAAGAACUACAUGACCCGCGCCCAUUAUGAUGCCGCCAAGGUGUACUACAUCAACUAGAGCUAGCCAGGUGUGGCCGGACCCAGCCUUCCUGGGCCAGGGGCCAGUGCAGCCAGCGGCCCAGAGCCCAGACACAAGAGGAGUGUCAAAGAGUCAAACUAAAGAAAUCCUUUCAAAGAGGGAUGGACCGGGGGCCAGUUCCCUCUGGACUCAAAGUGUCCAGUGUCUCAGAGGGUAGAUGUGUCCAAGGAAUGACGUGCAGUUUUUGACUAUUUCCCUCCCCUGACCUCUGCCCUUUCUACAUAAAGCAGGUUGGAGUUUUUCUCAUUUCA